AAUGUCGUAACAAGGUUUCCGUAGGUGAACCUGCGGAAGGAUCAUUACCAAAGGAAGAACAGAAAAUCCACUUCAGGGAGGCGGACCUGACGGACGUCUUGAACCCUGUUGGGACCACCCUAUACCUGCGAAAUCGCCACCGUCCUAGCGGUGGCGGACGAUGAAUCAGGCACGGUGGCCCGUUUACCUUCACAUAACUUCCCUACGUACCACUUCCACGUUGCUUCCCCGGCAACCUCACUCAUUGGUGGACGCGGGGGAAGGUCUCCAACAAAUCGCACCUGCACUCAAUCAGCGGUCAGACGACCGAAUUGACAAAAGUCAUUAAAAAC
rnacentral:misc_RNA from 1 species